AUGAAUAAGAUAUCAACACGACUAAGCCAUUUACAUUAAAGCACAAGACCUAUUCACAAAUUGCACAUUUGUAUGUUUAGGUUCUCGAACCUUCAAUUUCUGUCUCUCUGAAGCCAAGAAAUCAAUCUAUUAAUAUUAAAUUUUGUAUCAAUUAUUGAUAAUUGGAAUACCUUUUAAUUCAUUUUUGUGCAACACCACCAUUUGAAUCUACAACUCCGACUACCUCUACAACAAAGCCUCCAAAACAUGUGCUCUAUUUGCAGCAGAGCCGUUGUUUGUCCAACUGAGCAGCGGCACCUCCUCCAGCAGAAAUUGGGUGUGCUAAGGGAAUCUACCGUGAGAGGAAGUUAAGCAGAUCUGUCGUCCCUGGAAGAGGCGGCACGACGGCAAUUCACAGUCGGAGGAUGAUACGAUUAUAUCAAUGGAAUUUAAGAGUUCAAUACCGAAAAAUAGUCAAGAAUAGAAAAGAGAGAAGAGGCAAUUUUGAUGAAAUUAUUUAAAAGAUUUCAGAAGAUGCAUGCUGAUGAAGGAAUUUAUUUGGGCAAGAAAGAUAGUCAUUAUUCUAAAUUUAUAGAAUUACUUCUUUAAUUUAAUUAGCCACAAAAGUAAUUAGUUUUUUUUUUUUUUUGAGGGAAUCAAAAGUCAUUAGUUUGUGGGCUAAGGGUUCUAUUAUUUUGUUUUAUUUUCUUGGUCCAUAAACUAAAAGUGACGGCUAGGUUGGUAUAUGGUGAAAAGGAGUUUUAUUUUUGUAGGGAGAUUAAUUUUUUUGCUUGAGGAGCUCUCCGUAGGAAUUGGGCAGUAGAGAAUUAAACCAUCUUGGCGGCGGUAGUGGAAAUCUGGCAACGAGAACAAUUCCUUUGAGAGAUUAACUUGUUUCCUUUGUUUUAUUUUCUUUCGUAGUUUAGAAUUGUUAUUAGAUUUCGAUAGUUGGAUUAUUAUUUCUGGUAGCAAUAUUUCGGCUCUUUCAAUUCUUAGAUAUUUAUUACUCUCUUCGUCCCACUUUAAUAGGCUCGUUUGUAAAUUUUUUUAAUCUCUGUGCCCAAAAGAAGUGAGCCUAUUAGAGUGGACAGAGGGAGUAUGUUUUAUAUUUAUUUCAUUUUGUUUAAUUUCAUUCGCACGAGUAGUUAAUUUCUUGAUUCGGUGAGAAUAAUGAAGCACUGGUCUAAAAUCUGUGAGAUCUAAUAGUGUGUUUACUUAAUUUAAUUGUAUUUUGAUUUGUUCCAUGAGCAGAGUGCUUUAAUCUGGUUUUCUUGAGCUUUGUCACCUUAGGUUAAUUCAGAUUAGUGUCAAUUAGUUCUCACAAUCCGUAAUUGUUGAAAUCGGACUAAUUAGUGACGAAGCUAUCGUACUGGUAGUAGGAAAUAAAUUGGUAGACGAAUUAUUACUUGCGUUUCUUGGGUAAUUUAUCUAAAUUGGGUUCCUUCAGCUUAUUGCUAUUGAAACAUUAAAUCCAUGUCUGAUGUCAAUAGUUAUGUUGUGUUUUAAUAAGAGAAAUAGUUAGGUCUGGCGCCUACAGCUAACUAUCGAUAAAGUAAAUGGAAUUAAGGUAUGUCCGCUGCAUUCACGGUAUCUUAUGACUGGUUGGUUCAUAAGAAUUAAUUUAUCUCUGCGUCUAUAAUCAGAGUAGUGACUAGUGUGGAUUUAUUCAAACCGAGUCCGUUUUUAUUCUUGAUUUAUCUCUUAUUUGCUAUUUUAGUUGUUUUUCUUAGUUUAUAGUUAAUCUCUCCAAUUUAAGGCGUGAUGGCUACACCAAACUCGAUCUUUAGAAAAUUGAGUGCAUUUACUUUUCUCUGUGGUUCGACCCUACUUAUUACUAUACUAAUUUAAUUCUUGGUAGGAUUACAGGAAUCAUUUUAUUGUGUACGACGUUCACCAGUGGGGCUUUUCGAGCAAGCCCAAACUCCAGAAAUAUAGAGAAACAAAGAUGAAAAUGGGCCAUUCAGCCUACACUCCAUUUGCAAAAUAAAAAUUCUAAUUCAUUUCAUUCAUAGUUCCUAAAAAUAGAGAUGCUACAUAUAUAUAACUAUAAUUACUUAUUAGCUAUUAACCAUGCAUUUCUUAAA